UACGUAGGGUGCAAGCGUUAAUCGGAAUUACUGGGCGUAAGCGUGCGCAGGCGGUUUUGUAAGUCUGUCGUGAAAGCCCCGGGCUCAACCUGGGAAUUGCGAUGGAGACUGCAAGGCUUGAAUCUGGCAGAGGGGGGUAGAAUUCCACGUGUAGCAGUGAAAUGCGUAGAGAUGUGGAGGAACACCGAUGGCGAAGGCAGCCCCCUGGGCUGAGAUUGACGCUCAGGCACGAAAGCGUGGGGAGCAAACAGG
rnacentral:rRNA from 1 species